GGUAGAUCUCAUUCCGGGACUAUGAGGCAAAAAGGCAAAGGCAAAAAGAGAACAUUUUGUUUGGUUGAGAAUAAAUGCAAAGAAGAUACACACUUUUUGGCUCCAAACCUGGACUAUUACCUGCGUCCCACUGCUGCUACAAUAAUUUAAAACACUUCUGUGAGAAAUAUAAUUAUCCGGGAGGAGUCCCAAGAUCAGAAGUCCCGGUUGAAGAGACAGAGAAGACAUGUUAUGAGUGUCUAUAUGUAAAGUGUUGCGUAAGAGUGUGGAAG